rnacentral:rRNA from 1 species
AUACGGAGGGGGUUAGCGUUGUUCGGAAUUACUGGGCGUAAAGCGCACGUAGGCGGAUUGGAAAGUAGGGGGUGAAAUCCCAGGGCUCAACCCUGGAACUGCCUCCUAAACUAUCAGUCUAGAGUUCGAGAGAGGUGAGUGGAAUUCCAAGUGUAGAGGUGAAAUUCGGAGAUAUUUGGAGGAACACCAGUGGCGAAGGCGGCUCACUGGCUCGAUACUGACGCUGAGGUGCGAAAGCAUGGGGAGCAAACAGGAUUAGAAACCCUAGUAGUCC